rnacentral:rRNA from 1 species
UGGGGAAUUUUGCACAAUGGGGGAAACCCUGAUGCAGCGACGCCGCGUGAUUUAGAAGGCCUUCGGGUUGUAAAAAUCUUUUGUAUGGGAAGAAAAUGACAGUACCAUACGAAUAAGGACCGGCUAAUUACGUGCCAGCAGCCGCGGUAAUACGUAAGGUCCGAGCGUUGUCCGGAAUCAUUGGGCGUAAAGGGUACGUAGGCGGAUAAGCAAGUUAGAAGUGAAAUCCUAUAGCUCAACUAUAGUAAGCUUUUAAAACUGCUCAUCUUGAGGUAUGGAAGGGAAAGUGGAAUUCCUAGUGUAGCGGUGAAAUGCGUAGAUAUUAGGAGGAAUACCGGUGGCGAAGGCAACUUUCUGGACUUGAACUGACGCUGGGGCACGAAAGCGUGGGGAGCAAACAGG